rnacentral:misc_RNA from 1 species
AAGACUAUAGACCUGCGGAGUACCUGCGGAAGGAUCAUUACCGAGUUUACAACUCCCAAACCCCCUGUGAACUUAUACCAUUACUGUUGCUUCGGCGGGUUAUUGCCCCGGGGAAAGGACCAGGUGCCGUCAAGGUUCCCUGCCCGCCCCCGGAAACAGGCGCCUGCCGGGGGACUCAAACUCUUCUGUAUUUUUUAUUUUACUGUUAUACUGUCUGAGUAAAAAACUAUAAAUGAAUCA